rnacentral:rRNA from 1 species
AGGCGCGAAGGCGUGGGGGAGCAAACAGGAUUAGAUACCCUGGUAGUCCACGCUGUAAACGAUGAAUGUUAAAUAUGGGAAGUUUUACUUUCUGUAUUACAGCUAACGCGUUAAACAUUCCGCCUGGGGACUACGGUCGCAAGAUUAAAACUCAAAGGAAUUGACGGGGACCCGCACAAGCGGUGGAGCAUGUGGUUUAAUUCGAUGCAACGCGAAAAACCUUACCACUCCUUGACAUGGAAAUUAUACCUAUUCGAAGGGAUAGGGUCGGUUCGUCCGGGUUUCACACAGGUGUUGCAUGGCUGUCGUCAGCUCGUGUCGUGAGAUGUUGGGUUAAGUCCCGCAACGAGCGCAACCCUCAUCCUUAGUUACCAUCAGGUAAUGCUGGGGACUUUAAGGAAACUGCCAGUGAUAAACUGGAGGAAGGUGGGGAUGAUGUCAAGUCAUCAUGGCCCUUAUGGAGUGGGCUACACACGUGCUACAAUGGUGGCUACAAUGGGCUGCAAAGUCGCGAGGCUAAGCUAAUCCCUUAAAAGCCAUCUCAGUUCGGAUUGUACUCUGCAACUCGAGUGCAUGAAGUUGGAAUCGCUAGUAAUCGUGGAUCAGCACGCCACGGUGAAUACGUUCUCGGGUCUUGUACACACUGCCCGUCACGCCAUGGGAAUUGGUUUCACUCGAAGCUAACGACCUAACCGCAAGGAGGGAGUUAUUUAAAGUGGGAUCGGUGACUGGGGUGAAGUCGUAACAAGGUAGCAGUAGGGGAAUCUGCGGCUGGAU